rnacentral:rRNA from 1 species
ACUGCUCAGUAACACGUGGAUAACCUACCCUUGAGACGGGGAUAAACCCGGGAAACUGGGUAUAAUACCCGAUAGAUCUCGGACGCUGGAAUGCAUCGAGAUCGAAGGCUCCGGCGCUCAAGGAUGGAUCUGCGGCCUAUCAGGUAGUAGUGGGUGUAGCGUACCUACUAGCCUACGACGGGUACGGGUUGUGAGAGCAAGAGCCCGGAGAUGGAUUCUGAGACACGAAUCCAGGCCCUACGGGGUGCAGCAGGCGCGAAAACUUUACAAUGCUGGAAACAGCGAUAAGGGGACCUCGAGUGCCAGGUUACAAAUCUGGCUGUCGUGAUGCCUAAAACGCAUUGCAUAGCAAGGGCCGGGCAAGACCGGUGCCAGCCGCCGCGGUAACACCGGCGGCUCGAGUGGUAACCGUUAUUAUUGGGUCUAAAGGGUCUGUAGCCGGCCGGAUAAGUCGCUUGGGAAAUCUGGCAGCUUAACUGUCAGGCUUUCAGGAGAUACUGUCUGGCUCGAGGCCGGGAGAGGUGAGAGGUACUUCAGGGGUAGGGGUGAAAUCUUGUAAUCCUUGAAGGACCACCAGUGGCGAAGGCGUCUCACCAGAACGGACCUGACGGCAAGGGACGAAAGCUAGGGGCACGAACCGGAUUAGAUACCCGGGUAGUCCUAGCCGUAAACGAUACUCGCUAGGUGUCGGCCACGGUGCGACCGUUGUCGGUGCCGUAGGGAAGCCGUGAAGCGAGCCACCUGGGAAGUACGGCCGCAAGGCUGAAACUUAAAGGAAUUGGCGGGGGAGCACCACAACGGGUGGAGCUUGCGGUUUAAUUGGAGUCAACGCCGGG